CAGCAGUGAGGAAUAUUGGUCAAUGGACGAGAGUCUGAACCAGCCAAGUAGCGUGAAGGAUGACUGCCCUAUGGGUUGUAAACUUCUUUUAUAUGGGAAUAAAGUUCAGUAUGUAUACUGUUUUGUAUGUACCAUAUGAAUAAGGAUCGGCUAACUCCGUGCCAGCAGCCGCGGUAAUACGGAGGAUCCGAGCGUUAUCCGGAUUUAUUGGGUUUAAAGGGAGCGUAGGCGGACGCUUAAGUCAGUUGUGAAAGUUUGCGGCUCAACCGUAAAAUUGCAGUUGAUACUGGGUGUCUUGAGUGCAGCAGAGGUAGGCGGAAUUCGUGGUGUAGCGGUGAAAUGCUUAGAUAUCACGAAGAACUCCGAUUGCGAAGGCAGCUUACUGGACUGUAACUGACGCUGAUGCUCGAAAGUGUGGGUAUCAAACAGGAUUAGA
rnacentral:rRNA from 1 species